UGCGGUAUGUGAGGGCUUCCCUGCAAAGGCUGAAAAAAUUCAGGGCAAUAGAAGAACAACUUGGGAUAAAACAUUCUCGGACGCUGUGCUUGGACGUUCCCACUCGAUGGAACUCUACAUACAUGAUGUUGUAUGUGGCAUAGAGGUACCAAAAAGUGUUUGAGUGGAUGGAGGUGGAAGAUGGGGGUCUGCGGUAUGCUUUGCUGGAGCUUGCAGGAAAGGGGCUCGGUCCGCCGGACACACAUGAUUGGACGAGUGUAGGAUUCUUUGUCACAUUUUUGCAGAUUUUUUAUGAUAUUACAAUGAAAAUAUCUGGAUCCGCAUACACGACUGCAAACUUGUGGUUCAGUCAGAUCUCGACACUACACCACCACUUGGAAGAUGGUUGCGAUGACCCUAGCGGACUGUUAUCUGGUAUGGCUCAGAGGAUGUUGUCCAAAUUGAGAAGAUAAAUAGAUUACUCUUUGUAGCUGUGAUCCUUGACCCCCAAAUCAAGUUGGCCGUGAUAGAAUAUUGGGCAAAUUCCGUCCUCGGGGCAAUGAAGGCUGCAUCGUUUAUUACAGCGCUGAAAACUGAUCUCGAUGACUUGUACAACCACUACAAAAAUAGUGGAUAGCCUUCAUCUUCAGCGGGUACCUCACACGUGAGUUCGACACCUCUCUUUGAUGACUUUAGCCCAACUGACACAUUGCCUCGACGCCGUAGGAAUUACGACAUCAUGAACGAGUAUCAUCAGCUCGUUGCAUCGAAGAAUAUUAUGGGGUGUACUUCAGAGGUUGAACGGUAUUUUAUGGAAGAGGUCGAGGCACCUAGUCCUGCUUUUGAGAUAUGCAUUUGGUGGAAGGCUAAUUCCAUCAAGUAUCCAAUCCUUUCCCGUAUUGCCUGAGAUGUGCUAGCCAUUCCUAUUACGAUGGUUGCAUCUGAGUCGGCGUUUAGCACUGGAGGUCGAGUCUUGGAUGCUUUCCGGAAUUCUUUGUCACCGUCAACCGUGGAGGCCCUCGUUUGCACACAGAACUGGAUCAGUGAUACACCCCUUGGACUAGAUAGCAUUGGCAUUGAUGAUGAGAGCUAUAGGCUUGAAGAUGAUCUAAUUGUGAACCCCAGUAUAGUUGCCGAUGAAUGAUGGGGUAUGGAUAAAGAUAAGUUGAUGUCAGAAUUAACUUAAUCUUUAUUGGUAUUAAUGGUACUUCAAAUGACCAAGUACGAUGCUGCAAAGUGCAAAUGAUGUAUUGUCCAUUGUCCAUAAUAUUGUCCAUUUUUUAUCUUAACGUGAUUGAAAAUAUUGUCCAUUGUCCAUAAUACUCGUUAUACCAGAAA